rnacentral:rRNA from 1 species
UACGUAGGGUGCAAGCGUUAAUCGGAAUUACUGGGCGUAAAGCGUGCGCAGGCGGUUUUGUAAGACUGUCGUGAAAUCCCCGGGCUCAACCUGGGAAUGGCGAUGGUGACUGCAAGGCUAGAGUUUGGCAGAGGGGGGUGAAGAUUCCACGUGUAGCAGUGAAAUGCGUAGAUAUGCGGAGGAACACCGAUGGCGAAGGCAGCCCCCUGGGUCAAGACUGACGCUCAUGCACGAAAGCGUGGGGAGCAAACAGG